CGCUCCCUCCCGCCUAGAUUCGGGGCUGGAAGUCCCUCCCCGAAUCCAGCAGCGGGCCUGGGACCGAGUAGGGGCUGGAGUGGGCCUCGCCUCUCCGAGGGAUGGAGGGGACGGAGGCGGCGGCGGCCAAACCUGCGGGCGGCAGCCCCCAAGGGCCCAAGACAGGGAGUGGAGCAGCCAGGCCCAUGGAGAGGACCUCAGCUAUGGAGUGGAGUGGUCCUGAGCCACAGCCAGAUAAUGGACACCCUCCAAGACCCUGGCCUUGCCCUCAGGAAAACAGAACAUCCAGCCUGAUGGCCCUCCAGCCUCCCAGGGUAUGGGGGACACAGCUCCAAGGCCCCUCUGUGCUGGAAUCCAAGGUGAGGGCUUUGAAGGAGAAGAUGACAGGUGGCAAACAGGGAGUCAGUCCCUGCCCCACUUCCCACGAGUGGUCAUCCCCCAAGAAACCCAAAUGCACACGAGGCAAGGCAGGGGGAGCCAGGACUCCGUCAGAGGGGUCUUUCCUGCCAGGUGCUGUGAUGGCUCCUCAUACCCAGAACCUGCCUGAUGGGCAGCUGGACAGCGGUGUCAGUGUGGAGGAACCCGCCAGGGAUGGGGGCCCCAGGCCUCCCAGGCCACCUGGCCCUGGGCGUGAGUACUGCAACUGGAGGAGCCCGUGGCCUCCAGAGGCCGAAUGGACACUGCCUGACCAUGAGAGAGAUCCACUGCUGGGGCCCAGCUCUUUGCAACAGAGCCCCAUCCAUGGAAUUACUCCUGGACAACCUGGGGGUCCUGGUCUUUGUAACAAAAUCAUCCACAUUCCCAGCCCAAGGACAGGAAGGUCCUACCCUUUUCCAGAUGACGUGGUCACAGAGGGAGAUCUGGACAGCACAUCCCUGACCUCCGAGGAGGACUUUGCCCCCAGGACAGCCCUGCUGGGGGAGCCCUGGAGAGCUGGAGACCUGCAGGCUCUGGGCGCUGGGAGCAGCGCCUUGUCCCUGUCUGACCGGGUGGAGAGGAACCGCCUGUUGCUGCAGGAGAUGCUCAGUGUUUCUGGGCAGAGCCCCCACAAGGCGGGAACCCCUGCCUGGACUCCGUCCUGGGACACAGCUGUACCAGAGCGACCCAUGGGGGAUGUGGACUGGGACUCGGCCAUCUCCUUGCAGGACUCGGGCCAGAACAGGUCCUUUGGUCCCAAGCCGGAGCCUGUGCUGAGCCCCAGGCAUGAGGAAGCCAAGCAUCUGCUGCAGAGUGCCCGCAUGAAGGCCAGGACCCGGCCCCUCCGUGCCAGCCAUGACAUCGUGCCCACCAUUGCCCAGGGCAGCCGAGACGGCCACAGAAGCCCAGCCCGGGACCCCAGGACGACCCUUGCCUGCAGAGACAGCCUCCAGAAUGGGCACACUAGUGAUUCCUCCAGCGGAGAGUCCAGCGGCGGGCCGGGGCCAAGGCCGAGGCGGGGCCCCUCACCGUCGCACGUGCGUUUUGAGGAUGAGUCUGCCCGUGAAGCCGAGUGCCGCUACCUGGAGCGGCUGCAGCAACGCCAGCGCCAGGUGCUGAGCACUGUGCUGCAGGCGGUGGACCAGGGCCCCCUGCGCUCCAAGCCUGACCUCGCCGACUACAUCAACGGGCCCCCCCGGCUCCGGGAUGCGGGGCAGGGGGCAUUCCACCGGCUUGUGGGCAGCCUGGACCGCAGGGGCCCCUUGGUGGCUCCCACACUGGGCAGCGAGAGGAGGUGCCAGGCCUGUGGCAGCUGCAUCAACAACUUGUGGCCCACCCAAGGGAAGGCGGCCCCUGACCCCAGGGCCCUCCAGGAGCCCCAGGCUCCCCGUGGGAUGGAGGGGUUACUGGGAGGCCUGAGCUCCCCACUCCGGCUCCUUCCUGCAGAGCCCGGGCUCCACACAGAAUGGAUCCGGGAAACACACAUCGGAGACACUGUGUGCCCUGCAGAGGUGCACUCUGCCCUGGACAGCACAGACACCUUGGACAGCUGCAGGACUGACAGUGAAGAGGCAGGGAUCUCUCAGGCCAGCCAGGCCUGUGAGCAGACCCGAGGUAGCAGCCCAAGACUGAGACUGCAGGGCUCCAGGCCUCAAGGCCACAGGUGGCCCAAGAAGGCUGACACGGAGCUGCCUUGGGGCCUCCAAGCCCGGCAACACCUGCCUGGGGCUGAUGAUGUGGAGUUGGGAAAUGAGGUGAAGGAGGACAGAGGACACACGGCUGGGGGGACUCUAUUUUUGAGAGAAGAUGCUGUCCCUAAGCCUCCCGGCCUGGAGUUGAAGCGGGUAUCCCUGGGACCCCAGUGGCAGCCUGGACCAGGGCUGGGAAGUCACCAGUCUCACUCUUUGGAUUCUCGGACUCCAUGCAGGACAGCCUAUGCCACCACCUCCCCCAGGGCGCCUGAAUCAUUGGGGCCAGGAGGCCAGGCCCAGGUUAUAGAAAGCCAUGAGUCCCUGGAGAUUGUCUCUCCUUCCUCCCUGCAACAGGGCCCUGCAGAGCCUUCUGCCCCGAACCAAGCCCAGCAGCCAACAGCUUCCUUUUGCCCUGAAGGCUGGACGCCAACCCCUCCCCCUUCACGGAAAACCACCUCUCCCACAUCUCACAGGAAGGCAGCCCUGGCUGGACAGCGCAGGCCAAGUGACCAGGGAGAGCCUGUGGGUAUCCCCCGGCCUCCUUCAAGAAGUGCGGUUCUCAGGACCUGUGAGCUGUCCCCAUCACAGACCCAGCCCAGCUGCCCUCAGGUCAGGCACUCACUGCUGGCCCUGUCCACCAACAACUGCAACAACAGCGCACCUCGGGGGCUGCAGGAGCCCUGUAGGGGAGCCGUCCACGAGGGUAGGGUGGAGAGGGGCCCCCGCAGCCGGGAGCCGGAGCCGCCCCUGGAGAACAGCAGAGAUGGAGGCUCCCAGGGCUUUCCCAGCUCAGCAGAUGUUGACACCAUCAACUCCACGGGCAUCACCCUCUCCCUGUUCUCAGAGGACCCAGAGUUCAGCCAGGAAUCAGAGGGAAGCCUGCAGAGGACAGAGUCGGGAUCUGGAAGACAUGUGCUGUCGAAGGCAUCAGCAGGAGCUGGCACAGGACCUGGCUGCCCCUCGGCUGCCCCUUCGGACCAGAACAAGAAAAGGAGCAGCAGCAUCGCCUCCACCUUGGGGCUGAAAAAGCUCUUCUCAGCCCUGAGCCAGAGUUCCCGGCCCAAGUUGGGCAAGUCCCGCAGCUACAGCGUGGAGCAGCUGCAGCCCGCUGUGCCCCGCCUGGUGUCACACUCCAGGGCCCCAUCGUUACAAUCCCUGCACCCGGUGUCACCCCAUCACCAGCGUCGGAAAGCUGCCUCUUUCCAGAACCUCCAUUCUCUGCUGAGCGGCAAGGGGGACCGGUCCAGCCUCUACCUGGUAGCGGGGCCAGGGGACCACAGUGCAGCUGGCAGGCUGGCCAGGGCUUCACCACGGCGUGCUCUCAGUGUGGAGGAUGUGGGAGCUCCCAGCCUGGUUCGCACGGUGGGCCGCCUGGUGGAGGUGUUCCCAGACGGCACCAGCCAGCUACAGCUGCAGCGCUCCCCGGGGGGCACUUUCGGCUUCUGCGUGGCGUCUGGGAAUGGGCGCCCGGAUUCAGGUAUGCCCUCUCCCCUUCCUCAGUCCCAUGACCGGGGCGGCCUUAGCGAACCCCAGCAGGGCCUUCUGGCUAUGGUCAGAGGCUUUUCUGGUCCUUGGCUGAGCUGGGGAGCUCUGGGAAAUCACAAAGCCUCCGACCACAAGACUAGACUUCUCCCCUCAGGGGCU